AGGCUUGUUGCAAAGAGUCUUUCCCAUUAAGUGGUUUUCCCAGGGUGAGGCUCAUCCCAUUGUGCUUGGGAUGUGCUGACCCCUGCGAUUUCCCCAAAUGUGGGUAACUCAACUGCAUAAUUUGUGGUAGUGGGUACUGCGCUCACACUGAAAAAAAAAAUCAUUCCCA
rnacentral:snRNA from 1 species